rnacentral:rRNA from 1 species
CGAACGCACAUCUCAAAGGAGCUUGCACGUUUCAGUGAGUGGCGAAUGGGUGAGUUGGCGUGGACAACCUGCCUCGUGCUGGGGAUAACCUUUGGAAACGGAUGCUUUUCCAAAUAAAACUUAAUGUCGCAUGACACCAAGAUAAAAGGGGCUUCUGCGUCACCGAUGGAUGGAUCCACGGUGCAUUAAUGGAUCGGUGGGGUAAAGGCCUACCGGGACAAUGAUGCCUAGCCGAGUUGAUAAACUGAUCCCCAACUUUGGGACUGAUACACGGCCCUGACUCCGACGGGAGGCWGCARUWSGGAAUCUUCCMCAAUGGRCGMAAKYCUGAUGGAKSAACGCCGCKUGUGUGAUGAAGGCUUUCGGGUCKKAAAACWSUGUUGUAUGGGAARAACWSYUAKAAUAGGAAAUGAUUUUMGUUUGACGGUAYCAUACCAGAAAGSSACGGCUAAAUACGUGCCMSCMGCCGCGGUAAUACSUAUGUCCCRAGCGUUAUCCKGAKUUAUUGGGCGUAWASCGAGCGCWKRCGGUUUAUUAARUCUGAUGUGAAAGCCCKGAKCUCAWCUCCRGAMKGGCAUUGKAAACUGGKUAACUUGAGUGCAGAAGAGGUCAGUGGAACUCCAUGUGUAGCGGUGGAAUGCGUAGAUAUAUGGAAGAACACCAGUGGCGAAGGCGGCUUUCUGGUCUGCAACUGACGUUGAGGCUCGAAAGCAUGGGUAGCAAACAGGAUUAGAUACCCUGGUAGUCCACGCCGUAAACGAUGAACACUAGGUGUUAGGGGGUUUCCGCCUUUCAGUGCCGAAGCUAACGCAUUAAGCAUUCCGCCUGGGGAGUACGACCGCAAGGUUGAAAYUCAAAGGAAUUGAGGGGGACCCGCCCAAGGGGUGGAGCAUGUGGUUUAAUUGGAAGCAACGGAAAGACCUUUACCAGGUCUUGACUUCUUUUGAAGCUUUUAGAGUCAGAUGUGUUCUUUUCGGAGAAAAAGUCACAGGUGGCGCAGGGUUGUUGUCAGCUUGUGUUGAGAGAUGGGGGGAAAAGUCCCGCAGAGAGCGCACCCUUUAAUGUGAGUCCCCCGCAUUCAGAGGCACACUCUAGAGAGACCGCCGGACACAAACGGGAGGAAGGGGGGGGAGAUGUCAUAUCCUCAUGCCCCUUAUCACGGGGGCCACACACGUGCCACAAGGGGGUAUACAGAGAGUUGCCAACCCGAGAGGGUGAUAUAAUCUUUUAAACUUUGUCUCAUUUGGGAUUGUAGUGUACAUCUCGUACACGAGAUGUGGGAAUCGAUUGAAAUCGGGGAACCGCGCGCCGCGGAGAAUAUGUUCGGGCGUUUUGCACACACCCCCUCUCACCCCAUGAGAGUUUGUCACGCCCAAAGCGCGGUGG